UAAUAAGUGUUUUAUGGCACUUUUUUAAAUCCAUAUCCACCUUGUGUGCGAUGUCGGUCGAUCUUCUUUUUUUGAGGAUCGACCAAACAUCAAACCUUUAUCUUUUAACUCUUUGUCUGAAAAAUAUUACGAAUAAACAAUUCAAAAUA
rnacentral:misc_RNA from 1 species